GGAGACACCUGAGGAAGGGCAAGGCACCUGAAACAAGAGGGGGUUUAGACGGCACAAUAAAACAGGAAGUAUCAAAAUCAGACGUAUGUUUUGGGGAACUUCUGAUUGGUAUAUUUGGAAAUAUUCCCAACACCUGCAGUGAGGAAAACCCCUGUGUGGGCGCAGAGGGCUGAAGACUUGGCGACAGCAGGGUGGCAAUGAGACUAAGACAACGGCGAGGAAAAGGCAUCAGACUCUUCAUAUUUUAUCACAUUCGGCCUCCCCCUCCCCCCCCCCCCUUUUUUUUUCCGAAGCUGGUUUUCUGUAUUACAUUCGAAGGUGCUGGAGAGCUCGAAGCAGAAGAGGACAGGAUGCCACAUGGCAAUAUUUGUGUUGAGACAUUGCUGUGAUCUCGUCUGCAUUAGACCUGACAACUGCUAAUGGUCAUCUGCUCUCGCUGCUGUAACUGCUGCUCAGAUUCACACCAGAUUGUUUUGGUACUAACAGUAUUAUGAUUACCUCAAAAUGCCAGAAGAUUGUUUACUUGCCGAUGGGUGGGCCGACACUGUGGUAGUUUAACGGCAUAGAACAAAGAAUUGAUGCAAUCCAUUGGAAAGCCAGCCCCCCCCUCAACUGACUAUCACAGCGACGCUGCUGCUGCGGCUACCUUCAACAUGUGCCUCGUGCAUGUUUUUACACAAUGAAUGUGCUCUAUCUUGGUUAAUGCCCACACAUUUAUUAUGCUUAACCUGUUUCUUUCUGUUGUGGGAAUUCAAAUUGUGAUAAAUAGACCAACCGACCCAAUGCAGAUACACCAGCCAGUCAUUGACAACUCAAACUACGGCCACGCUGCAAGUCAGCAAUGCGAGUUUAGUCUCAGGAGUCAUCGAUCAACAUUGUGCUCUAGUGGAGGCAAGUGUAUACAAAUAAAAAAAAAGCCUGAUGUUUACAUUCAGUGUACAUGCAAAAUGAAAAAAAAUAAUAGCAAAUU
ensembl:lncRNA